rnacentral:lncRNA from 1 species
CCGUCUGUCUCUCCUCCCCUCCCAUCGACUCUUCCCCAUUUCUGUCCAUCUGUCCAUCUGUCCAUCUGUCCAUCAUUGCCAUCUGUUCACCCAUCCAUGCCCGUACCCCCGUCCAUCCAUCUGUCCCUCUGUCCCUCUGUCCCUCUGUCGAGUUCAUUGCCGUCCCUCUGUCUGUCCUCCUGCCCAUCCUGAUGUCUGUCUGUCCAUCCACCUCUCCGUCCGUCAGUCCCUCCUGCCGUGUGUCCGUCCCUUCUGUCUGCCCUCUCUGUCUGUGUGUCCAUCUGUCCAUCCCUCGAUCCCUCCGUGUCCCCCUUGUCCCCCUGCCCAUGCCCAUGUCCCUCUGUCCAUCCCAUGUCCGUCUGUCCAUCCCAUGUCCAUCCUCCUGUCCAUCCCGUGUCCAUCUCAUGUCUGUGUGUCCAUCUCAUGUCCAUGCGUCCAUCUGUCCGUGUGUCCAUCCCAUGUCCAUCCGCUUGUCCACCCCAUGUCCCUCUGUCCAUCCCUGUGUCCAUCCUGUGUCCAUGUGUCCAUCUGUCCAUGCGUCCAUCCCUUGUCCAUCUGUCCGUGUGUCCAUCCCAUGUCCGUGUGUCCAUCCCAUGUCCAUGUGUCCGUCCCUGUGUCCAUCCCAUGUCCAUGCGUCUGUCCCGUGUCCAUCUGUCCGUGUGUCCAUCUGUCCGUGUGUCCGUCCCGUGUCCAUGUGUCCAUCCCAUGUCCGUGUGUCCGUCUGUCCAUGUGUCCAUCCUGUGUCCGUGUGUCCAUCCCUUGUCCAUCUGUCCGUGUGUCCAUCCUGUGUCCGUGUGUCUGUCCCGUGUCCGUUUGUCCGUCCCUGUGUCCGUGUGUCCAUCCCAUGUCCGUCUGUCCAUGUGUCCACCCAGUGUCCGUGUGUCCAUCUGUCCGUGUGUCCAUCUGUCCGUGUGUCCGUCCCGUGUCCGUGUGUCCAUCUGUCCGUGUGUCCGUCCCGGUGCCCCGCGGGCGCCGCCGCCCCUCCCCCCGCAGGGUUUGGGGGUCCCGGGGGGUUUCGGGUCCCCCGGGCUGGGGGGGCCGGAGCCGUUUAAUCUCUUUUCUCUUUGUCUCCUCUCUCGCCCCCUCCCCCCCCCGCCCGUGUGACCCCGCCCUCCCCCCUCCCCCUCCUGCCCCCCCC